CAAGUCGAACGGUGAACUCGCUUCGGCGGGGGAUCAGUGGCGAACGGGUGAGUAACACGUGGGCAACCUGCCCUCAGCUCUGGGAUAACUCCAAGAAAUUGGGGCUAAUACUGGAUAUGACCGCUGACCGCAUGGUCUGGUGGAAAGAUUUAUCGGCUGAGGAUGGGCCCGCGGCCUAUCAGCUUGUUGGUGGGGUCACGGCCUACCAAGGCGACGACGGGUAGCCGGCCUGAGAGGGUGACCGGCCACACUGGGACUGAGACACGGCCCAGACUCCUACGGGAGGCAGCAGUGGGGAAUAUUGCGCAAUGGGCGAAAGCCUGACGCAGCGACGCCGCGUGGGGGAUGACGGCCUUCGGGUUGUAAACCUCUUUCAGCAGGGACGAAGCGAAAGUGACGGUACCUGCAGAAGAAGCACCGGCCAACUACGUGCCAGCAGCCGCGGUAAUACGUAGGGUGCAAGCGUUGUCCGGAAUUAUUGGGCGUAAAGAGCUCGUAGGCGGUUCGUCGCGUCGGCUGUGAAAUCCCGAGGCUCAACCUCGGGUCUGCAGUCGAUACGGGCGGACUUGAGUUCGGCAGGGGAGACUGGAAUUCCUGGUGUAGCGGUGAAAUGCGCAGAUAUCAGGAGGAACACCGGUGGCGAAGGCGGGUC
rnacentral:rRNA from 1 species